rnacentral:pre_miRNA from 1 species
AGGACGAUGGAGUCUUAAUGUUCCUGCUUGUUCCUAUAUAUUAGGAACUAGCAGGAGCAUUAAGAUUACAGUCGUCAAUAAAC